rnacentral:rRNA from 1 species
UACGUAGGGGGCAAGCGUUGUCCGGAAUCAUUGGGCGUAAAGAGCGUGUAGGCGGCCCGAUAAGUCCGCUGUGAAAGUCCAAGGCUCAACCCUGGGAUGCCGGUGGAUACUGUCGGGCUCGAGUCCGGAAGAGGAGUGUGGAAUUCCUGGUGUAGCGGUGAAAUGCGCAGAUAUCAGGAGGAACACCAAUGGCGAAGGCAGCACUCUGGGACGUGACUGACGCUGAGACGCGAAAGCGUGGGGAGCAAAACAGG